rnacentral:lncRNA from 1 species
GUAUUUCCUUACUCCAGACCUUCAUCCUAAUUCAGUCAGCUCCUCAGCCUGCCAGUUAGGGUUUGUCACCCACCUGAGACAAUGAACCUGGGUGCAUCACAAGAGGUGAGCAGCAAGACAGCAAUCUGAACUUCCCCUGUGUCUACAACCACUGGCCACGGCUCAUAUCACCACUUGAGCUCUGCCUCCUGUCAGAUCAGCAGCGGCAUUAGAUUCUCACAGGAGCCUGGACUACCGUGAACUAGGUAUGGGAGGGAUCUAGGUUGCGUGCUCCUU